GGGGGGGGGAAACACUUAUUAUUGCCUAACAGGGAUCCAGUCAUUGUCAAUGAGGGCCAAAGCUAAAAUGUUAAAGUAUUAGCCGCAAAUGGUAGUAUUUUUUGACAAUAACCCUCAAAUGGUAGCAUAAGGACGGAAAAUUAUGUUAUUGAUGGCAUUCAUUUCUUUGUACGGGUCUGGUCCUUUUUUGACAAAAUACUUUGCCAUUGACUGUUGUUGAUUCAGAAAAGAUAAAACAUUGUUCAUUGUCUAUAAUAAAUUGACUAUAACUCUGCUUUAUAAUCCUGGUCCAUUUCAGAAAUCACCCAUUUUUAGAUUAUCUAACAUAUACCAAAUCUUUAUUCCAGGAAGUUGCUUUGUUUGCGACUAAUGGUGAGAGUUCCAUUCCUUGCGUUGCAAAAUACGAGUUCUUCUUGAAGAAUAUGAAUGCUCUCAUCUCGAUUAUAAAGCACAUGACGGACAUCGAAUCGCCAAGAAAGGGGAAUCUGGAAAAGCUAAAUGAUACUGAGUACCGAACAUUCUCCUUCGCUCAGGUAAAACUGGCUUUUACAUUGUCACAAAAAAAUAUCCAUUUCUUUCGCUAUCUUCCGCGAACUUCUAUUGAUUACAUAAACAUUGAAUUUUUGUGUAUCUUUUUGCAGAUAAAGACCCAAGCAAAGGCCUGUUUCAGUGUUCUUCAGGAUCUUCAUUUGAUGGUGAGUUUUCUACCCCUUUGUAAGUUCACGGUCGUUGUAGCGAAACUGUCUUAAAUAGGGAACAAAGUUCACAUAAUAAAAUAACCUAUUUGCAUUGUGAUACUUAAAUGCAACAAAAAUAAUUUAUUUUCUUAUUUGUUGUUAUAUAUUAUUGCAGACAAAAGAUCAAGCUGUCAUAUCUUCUACAAAGAAGUUUGCACGUCUUAUUCGGAACAUCGUUCAAUCCUGGGACACAUUCUUCUUUAGCAUAGCUGUUGUUGACAAGGGUCCAGGCAAAAUCGAUCCGUCAAACAACAUCAAACUCUUCUACAUGCUGACGAAAUUUGAUAUGGCAGAGUUCGCCAAGAACAUAGAAAAGCAGAAGAAGAGAAUGGAGUUAGUGCUAUUGAAAACUCUGAUGAAGCUGGAUGUUGGUUCCACAAAGAACAAGCUGUCAGCUGGAAAUAUCUUCAAACUGAAAAAUUCGAAAUUUGAAGAACUCUUAUUCAGUUCUAAUGCUGCCUGUGAUAAUGAAGGAGAAACUGUUAAUGGACUUCUUGAUGAUAGUUUCGCAUAUGUUCCUAAACCAAUAAGUGAUCCAAAAUACUAUCAUCCUAAGAAACGCAGCUCUUAUGUGGCUUAUGAUGUCACAUUAAAUGAAGAGCAAUGUGUUGUUGAAAAUUUGGUGGAAUCGCCAAAGAGGUCGCAUGCAUCUGACCAAGUGAAUGGUAUAAAAUUUCAGGCUGCCUUGAAUAGCAUCAAUGUGGUGAAUCCUAGACAUUAGGUAAUCACUAAAAGGACAUUAUUUCCUCAAGUAUAAUAUUAGACAUUACACACGCUGUCGUCAAACAGUGCUUUCUUUGUUUUGUAUCCAACGCGACUAAUUGCUUGUCUGACGCAUUAUAAAUAACUUUGUUAUGAUUGUACGUUGUUUAACCUAGUUUUAGAAAAUCACGUAAUUUUUGUUGAUGUUUUGACCUGGUUUCUAUGACCAGGGUAAUUAAAAAAUUUGCUUAAAUAGAGUGCAACUCUCAGUAAAUUUCAGAUAGGAUUUGAGGUUGCCUCACAUACGAAUGUAUUUUCUGUGAGCAUAAUCAUCAUAAUCAGGACUAUUUCUCGUGAUAUAUUUAGUGUCACUGGGAGUUUCUACGCAAAAACAGGGCUUAGUACGAGACUACAGGAAAUUCCCCACACUAA